rnacentral:rRNA from 1 species
UACGAAGGGUGCAAGCGUUACUCGGAAUUACUGGGCGUAAAGGGCUCGUAGGCGGCCAACUAAGUCGGAUGUGAAAUCCCCAGGCUUAACCUGGGAACUGCAUCCGAUACUGGAUGGCUUGAAUCCGGGAGAGGGAUGCAGAAUUCCAGGUGUAGCGGUGAAAUGCGUAGAUAUCUGGAGGAAUACCGGUGGCGAAGGCGGCAUCCUGGACCGGCAUUGACGCUGAUGAGCGAAAGCUAGGGGAGCAAACGGG